rnacentral:rRNA from 1 species
AACCUCUGAUCCAGCCAUGCCGCGUGAGUGAUAGAAGCCUUAGGGUUGUAAAGCACAUUUCAGCUGGUGAAGAUGAUCGACGGUACACCAAGAGAAAGAAGCCCCGGCUAACUU